rnacentral:rRNA from 1 species
AUUGAACGCUGGCGGCAGGCUUAACACAUGCAAGUCGAGCGGGGGAAGGUAGCUUGCUACCGGACCUAGCGGCGGACGGGUGAGUAAUGCUUAGGAAUCUGCCUAUUAGUGGGGGACAACAUCUCGAAAGGGAUGCUAAUACCGCAUACGUCCUACGGGAGAAGGCAGGGGAUCACUUGUGACCUUGCGCUAAUAGAUGAGCCUAAGUCGGAUUAGCUAGUUGGUGGGGUAAAGGCCUACCAAGGCGACGAUCUGUAGCGGGUCUGAGAGGAUGAUCCGCCACACUGGGACUGAAACACGGCCCAGACUCCUACGGGAGGCAGCAGUGGGGAAUAUUGGACAAUGGGGGGAACCCUGAUCCAGCCAUGCCGCGUGUGUGAAGAAGGCCUUAUGGUUGUAAAGCACUUUAAGCGAGGAGGAGGCUCUUUUGGUUAAUACCCAAGAUGAGUGGACGUUACUCGCAGAAUAAGCACCGGCUAACUCUGUGCCAGCAGCCGCGGUAA